rnacentral:misc_RNA from 1 species
AUAAUAUUGCCUUGUCUUAACACUCCCCCUAAAAAUGUAAUCUCAUCAGUUCCAACACUAUUCCCUGUAUGAGAUUCUUCUUAGAAGACUGCAACAGGUCCAGUUAUCCCUUAAGGUCCAAUGAUCCCUUAGGAUCAAUAACACAAAGUAACAGUACCGCAUGCCGAAUUCAGAAACACUUGCACAAAGGCACAAAGGCGCUAACAUAAAAGACAAGUCCUCUCCAAAGGCGAUGCCGACGAGAAAACAUUAACACAAAACAGCUCAUUGGGUUGUGCUUUUGUCUCCAAAGGUAAUAUUGUCAAGAAAAAAAUAACAGUAGAUG